UAUGGCUCAGAUUGAACGCUGGCGGCAGGCCUAACACAUGCAAGUCGAGCGGUAGAGAGAAGCUUGCUUCUCUUGAGAGCGGCGGACGGGUGAGUAAUGCCUAGGAAUCUGCCUGGGUAGUGGGGGGAUAACGUUCGGAAACGAACGCUAAUACCGCAUACGUCCUACGGGAGAAAGCAGGGGACCUUCGGGCCUUGCGCUAUCAGAUGAGCCUAGGUCGGAUUAGCUAGUUGGUGGGGUAAUGGCUCACCAAGGCGACGAUCCGUAACUGGUCUGAGAGGAUGAUCAGUCACACUGGAACUGAGACACGGUCCAGACUCCUACGGGAGGCAGCAGUGGGGAAUAUUGGACAAUGGGCGAAAGCCUGAUCCAGCCAUGCCGCGUGUGUGAAGAAGGUCUUCGGAUUGUAAAGCACUUUAAGUUGGGAGGAAAGGCCAUUACCUAAUACGUGGUGGUUUUGACGUUACCGACAGAAUAAGCACCGGCUAACUCUGUGCCAGCCGCUGC
rnacentral:rRNA from 1 species